rnacentral:rRNA from 1 species
UACAUGGGGUGCAAACGUUGCUCGGAAUUAUUGGGCGUAAAGCGCACGUAGGCGGUUUGUUAAGUCGGAUGUGAAAUCCCUCGGCUCAACUGAGGAAGUGCAUCCGAAACUGGCAAGCUUGAGUACGAAAGAGGAUCGCGGAAUUCCCGGUGUAGAGGUGAAAUUCGUAGAUAUCGGGAGGAACACCAGUGGCGAAGGCGGCACCCUGGCCCACACCUGACGCUGAGGUGCGAAAGCGUGGGGAGCGAACAGG